AGAGAGCUCAAGGCCGACCUAGGGUAGUAACGCCUGAUAACGACUUGCUAGUUGUGAGACCACGCCGCAGGAAGAAUAAAGAACCGACAUCUGAUCCCCAAAUAGUGACGUGCCAUAACUGCAACGAAUCUUUCACUUCUAAAGUACGGCUGAAGUUUCACAUGCAGUUCCACGAGACCCCCACCCCAGCCGGUCAAUCCCGAUAUUCCUGCGCGGCGUGCGGCG